rnacentral:rRNA from 1 species
UACGAAGGUGGCAAGCGUUGUUCGGAUUUACUGGGCGUAAAGCGUGCGCAGGCGGUUGUGCAAGACAGAUGUGAAAUCCCCGGGCUCAACCUGGGAAUUGCAUUUGUGACUGCACGGCUAGAGUGUGUCAGAGGGGGUAGAAUUCCACGUGUGAGCAGUGAAAUGCGUAGAGAUGUGGAGGAAUACCGAUGGCGAAGGCAGCCCCUGGAUAACACUGACGCCUCAUGCACGAAAGCGUGGGGAGCAACAGG